rnacentral:tRNA from 1 species
GAGGGUGUAGCUCAGUUGGUAGAGUGCACCUUAUUAGCAUGUAUGAGGUCCUGGGUUCAAUUCCUAGUACCUCUA